rnacentral:rRNA from 1 species
GUUGGGAAUCUUGGACAAUGGGGGAAACCCUGAUCCAGCCAUGCCGCGUGAGUGAUGAAGGCCUUCGGGUUGUAAAACUCUUUCGACGGGGACGAUAAUGACGGUACCCGUAGAAGAAGCUCCGGCUAACUUCGUGCCAGCAGCCGCGGUAAUACGAAGGGGGCUAGCGUUGUUCGGAAUUACUGGGCGUAAAGCGCGCGCAGGCGGCUAUCCAAGUCAGUGGUGAAAGCCCGGAGCUCAACUCCGGAACUGCCAUUGAAACUGUUUAGCUUGAGGACGAGAGAGGUGAGUGGAAUUCCCAGUGUAGAGGUGAAAUUCGUAGAUAUUGGGAAGAACACCGGUGGCGAAGGCGGCUCACUGGCUCGUAUCUGACGCUCAGGCGCGAUAGCGUGGGGAUCAAACAGGAUUAGAUACCCGGGUAGUCC